rnacentral:rRNA from 1 species
AUUGAACGCUGGCGGCAGGCUUAACACAUGCAAGUCGAACGUGAAGGGGACUUCGGUCCCUGGAAAGUGGCGCACGGGUGAGUAACACGUGGAUAAUCUACCCGAUGAUCUGGAAUAACACUUCGAAAGGGGUGCUAAUACCGGAUAAGCUCACGACGUCUUCGGACGACGCGGGAAAAGGGGGCUUCGGCUCCUGUCAUCGGCUGAGUCCGCGGCCCAUUAGCUAGUCGUUAGGGUAAUGGCCUACCAAGGCGACGAUGGGUAGGUGGUCUGAGAGGAUGAUGAGCCACACUGGAACUGAGACACGGUCCAGACUCCUACGGGAGGCAGCAGUGGGGAAUUUUGGACAAUGGGCGAAAGCCUGAUCCAGCCAUGCCGCGUGUGCGAAGAAGGCCUUCGGGUUGUAAAAUUCUGUUAUAAGGGAAGAACGACUUUAGUAGGAAAUGGCUAAAGUGUGACGGUACCUUAUGAGAAAGCCACGGCUAACUACGUGCCAGCAGCCGCCGUAA